CCCCCCAAGUGACAGCGACACAAAACCAACAAUGUCACAAAAACUAUUUCUGCAACAUGAAUCAUCACUCCAACUUAAGAUUUGGCUGCUGGGUCUCUUGCCUGUCUGUGUGAUAAUGAGGCCACGGGGGGGCUUACAACACUUGACAAGAAAGGAGAAGCGUUCAAUUUAUCAUGUGUUGCCAGGCCCCAGUUUGUGUUGCGGCAUGUAAGGGUCAACCUCGACGAAAGCCCCACUAGGUCACAUCUGCAAACUUCUUCGCGGUAUCCCGGCCCCGAGGAACACCGAUUGAUAAACUGGAAGUGGAAUUCCUUUUUGAUGAGACAUCUAAAACUCUCUAAACAGUUGCGUGACCACAGAGAACAUGGAUAAAAGCUGUGGAUCAUUUUUCUUCUGGAUGUUUUGCAGCAGGAGAAGGGAACACUUUACGUGGCUUCUCGCUAUUGUGUUCAUAAUUAGGAUGAAGGCCAGUCAGAUUGGAAGGACACACAAACACGAACGAAGCUCUCAAUUUACCGGUCGA